rnacentral:rRNA from 1 species
UGGGGAAUUUUGGACAAUGGGCGAAAGCCUGAUCCAGCAAUGCCGCGUGUGUGAAGAAGGCCUUCGGGUUGUAAAGCACUUUUGUCCGGAAAGAAAUCCUUGGCUCUAAUACAGUCGGGGGAUGACGGUACCGGAAGAAUAAGCACCGGCUAACUACGUGCCAGCAGCCGCGGUAAUACGUAGGGUGCAAGCGUUAAUCGGAAUUACUGGGCGUAAAGCGUGCGCAGGCGGUUUGCUAAGACCGAUGUGAAAUCCCCGGGCUCAACCUGGGAACUGCAUUGGUGACUGGCAGGCUAGAGUAUGGCAGAGGGGGGUAGAAUUCCACGUGUAGCAGUGAAAUGCGUAGAGAUGUGGAGGAAUACCGAUGGCGAAGGCAGCCCCCUGGGCCAAAUACUGACGCUCAUGCACGAAAGCGUGGGGAGCAAACAGGAUUAGAUACCCUGGCAGUCCACGCCCUAAACGAUGUCAACUAGUUGUUGGGGAUUCAUUUCCUUAGUAACGUAGCUAACGCGUGAAGUUGACCGCCUGGGGAGUACGGUCGCAAGAUUAAAACUUAAAUGAAUUGACGGGGUCAUA